UACGUAGGGGGCAAGCGUUGUCCGGAUUCAUUGGGCGUAAAGAGCGUGUAGGCGGCCAGGUAGGUCGGUUGUGAAAACUGGAGGCUCAACCUUCAGAGGUCGACCGAAACCAUCUGGCUAGAGUCCGGGAGAGGAGAGUGGAAUUCCUGGUGUAGCGGUGAAAUGACGCAGAUAUCAGAAGAACACCCGUGGCGAAAGCGGCUCUCUGGAACGGUACUGACGCUGAGACGCGAAAGCGUGGGGAGCGAACAGG
rnacentral:rRNA from 1 species